CCGAAGUGCAAAUUCGGCGCAGCACCCCAAAGAGUGCCGGGGCUU
rnacentral:tRNA from 1 species